UACGUAGGGUGCAAGCGUUAAUCGGAAUUACUGGGCGUAAAGCGUGCGCAGGCGGUUUUGUAAGUCUGAUGUGAGAUCCCCGGGCUCAACCUGGGAAUUGCAUUGGAGACUGCAAGGCUAGAAUCUGGCAGAGGGGGGUAGAAUUCCACGUGUAGCAGUGAAAUGCGUAGAGAUGUGGAGGAACACCGAUGGCGAAGGCAGCCCCCUGGGUCAAGAUUGACGCUCAUGCACGAAAGCGUGGGGAGCAAACAGG
rnacentral:rRNA from 1 species